UGGCGAACGGGUGAGUAACACGUGAGCAACCUGCCCUUGGCUCUGGGAUAACUCCGGGAAACCGGAGCUAAUACUGGAUACGACACGCGGAGGCAUCUUCUGUGUGUGGAAAGAUUUAUCGGCCAGGGAUGGGCUCGCGGCCUAUCAGCUUGUUGGUGGGGUAACGGCCCACCAAGGCGACGACGGGUAGCCGGCCUGAGAGGGCGACCGGCCACACUGGGACUGAGACACGGCCCAGACUCCUACGGGAGGCAGCAGUGGGGAAUAUUGCGCAAUGGGCGAAAGCCUGACGCAGCGACGCCGCGUGAGGGAUGAAGGCCUUCGGGUUGUAAACCUCUUUCAGCAGGGAAGAAGCGAAAGUGACGGUACCUGCAGAAGAAGCACCGGCUAACUACGUGCCAGCAGCCGCGGUAAUACGUAGGGUGCAAGCGUUGUCCGGAAUUAUUGGGCGUAAAGAGCUCGUAGGCGGUCUGUCGCGUCUGCUGUGAAAACUCGGGGCUUAACCCCGGGCCUGCAGUGGGUACGGGCAGACUAGAGUGCGGUAGGGGAGACUGGAAUUCCUGGUGUAGCGGUGAAAUGCGCAGAUAUCAGGAGGAACACCGGUGGCGAAGGCGGGUCUCUGGGCCGUAACUGACGCUGAG
rnacentral:rRNA from 1 species